rnacentral:lncRNA from 1 species
AUGUUGAUGCCUAAGAAGAACUGGAUUGCCAUUUAUGAACUCCUUUUUAAGGAGGGAGUCAUGGUGGCCAAGAAGGAGGUCUACAUGCCUAAGCACCCGGAGCUGGCAGACAAGAAUGUGCCCAACCUUCAUGUCAUGAAGGCCAUGCAGUCUUCCAAGUCCCGGGGCUAUGUGAAGGAACAGUUUGCUUGGAGACAUUUCUACUAGUACCUUAUCAAUGAGGGUAUCCAGUAUCUCCAUGAUUACCUUCAUCUGCUCCUGGAAAUUGUGCCUGCCACCCUAUGCCACAGCCAUCCAGAGACUGGCAAGCCUCAGCCUAAAGGUCUGGAGGGUAAGUGACCUGCAAGACUCACAAGAGGGGAAGCCGACAGAGAUACCCACAGACAAAGUGUUUUGCCCCCUGGUGCCAACAAGAAAGCCGAGGUUGGGGCUGGGUCAGCAACCGAAUUCCAGUUUAGAGGCGGAUUUGAUGGUGGAUGUGUUCAGCCACCUCAGUAA